AUUGAACGCUGGCGGCAGGCCUAACACAUGCAAGUCGAACGAGUGGCGGACGGGUGAGUAAUGUCUGGGAAACUGCCUGCUGGAGGGGGAUAACUACUGGAAACGGUAGCUAAUACCGCAUACCAUCGGAUGUUCCCAGAUGGGAUUAGCUAGUAGGGGGGGUAAAGGCUCACCUAGGCGACGAUCCCUAGCUGGUCUGAGAGGAUGACCAGCAACACUGGAAAGGAGAUACGGUGCAGACUCCUACGGGAGGCAGGAGGGGAGAAUAUUGCACAAGGGGCGCAAGGCUGAUGCAGCCAUGCGGCGUGUAUGAAGAAGGCCUUCGGGUUGUAAAGGACGUUCAGCUGGGAGGCGUUACCCGCAGAAGAAGCACCGGCUAACUCCGUGCCAGCAGCCGCGGUAAUUC
rnacentral:rRNA from 1 species